GUAGCUGACUGAGCUGAUAGCUGACGGAGCUGAUAGCUGACUGAGCUGGUAGCUGACGGAGCUGAUAGCCGACAGAGCUGAUAACUGACAGAGCUGUAGUAGGAUGAGAUGAGAGAGGAUGGAACACAUGGACAGCCCCGCCUCCCAAAGCAGCGACCCCAACGGGUUCGUCAAUAAAGUCUUCAAAGUGUCUCUGGAUGUGCAGAAUGAAACUGGCACCGUAUCUAUCCAGGAGACUGGGAAGGGAGAGGGUCAUGGAGAAGGUCCGGGGCCAGGCCAAGCCCAGAGAGAGUGGCAGGAGGCUGGGGAUAGACAGGCAGACACCCAGGCACCCCCUCAGACACCUGGAAAGGAGCGCCCGGAGGUCAACCGUAGAACAAGAGCGACUGGGGGCAUCUGGAAGAUCUUGACCCGGCGUAGAGUGGCCUCAGAGCUGGAUAACAGAAGACCUCACUCCAUGAUCCUCCCUGGAGAGGAGGCGUUCAUCCCUAAACUGUCCUUUGCUGACAAGGUCCGCUCCAUCAAGAAGCUCCGCUCUCCGGGUGUCUUCAAGGGGAGGGUGGGUAAGAUGUCUGGGUCCAGCACUAAGUUCAGAGAUGGAGAGACGGAGGACGACUCGUUCUGCCGGGACUUCCUCCCCUCGCCCGGCCUGCACCCCUGUAGGAGCACACUCCGCCACCGUGCAAAGAGGCAUUCAUAUGCCGGACACACCGCCGAGUUCGACUGCUCAUUUGAGGACAUGGAUCUGACAGCUACCCUGAACAGACACCAUCUUCACUCACUAGUGGAGCCUCUUACCCAGAACGGCUCUAAGCCCACAGAGAGAAUCUCCUGCUCCAAGAGACCUCAGGUCCAGGCGCAGGCGCAGGCCAACCAAUCCUCUAACUGUAACAGUACAUCAGCAGGAGUGUGUGAGGAGCAGAGUGUGAGGGGCGGCCCCAAGGUCCCGCUGGGUGGGAGGAGAUCUAAGAGAGCUGACGUGUGGAGUUACCUGAGGAGGAUCUCUGUCCUGGGGAAGGGGAACCCGGCCUACUCAGAGAGGAGUUUUGACUCAGAGCUCCACACACUGGACAAGACCAUGGACUCUGACUACGGCUCGGUGGACUUCGAGAGCGUCAGGGACUUUCAACCAGCGGCUCCAAAGCACUCUGACAGCAAAGGCGGACAUUUUGGGGGUCUGAUUAAGUUCUUCAGCAAUGUUGCGGAGACGGCUAGAAAAUGGCGGACAUCUUCUCGCUCCUUCUCUCCUCCAGAGGAGGGAGGGGAGCGGUCGCUGCUGGGCUCCCCCAGAGCAGGGCAGCAUCUGGGGGACUACGUCCACAGUGUGUCCCUGACCCUCCGCAGUGAAGACCACCCAGAGUGUCCCCCAACACCCACCUCACCCCUGACCCCUCACUCCCCUCGCUCCCCUCCCUGUGACCCUGCCUCACCCCCUCCUCUAAUAGGCAGACGGUCUCCUCAGGUGAUGCUGAAGGCCUGGAGGGUGAGUCCGGACUCAUCAAGCGUUAACGGCCUGGUGUGUGUGAGCUCAUUGGAGACGGACAGACAGAUGGACAGACAGACAGAGAGACAGACACGGCACACGUCUGUAGCCACAGUAGAGAAUCACGAGCCACACUCAAGGCUGGAGAGAGAGACUCAGAAAGAGAGAGAGACAGAGGUAGACAGAGAUCCCUUAGAAUGUCUGUCUACAGUGGAAGAGAGAGAAAGCGAGGGAGGGGGGGGAGGAGAGGGACACUCAGGAAAUUACCUGGAUUCCAAGGAUGCUCUAACUGUCUCGGAGCAGACACACCUUCCAAACGGCCAAUCAGAGUUACGGGAAGGAGAGUUCGUAGCCACUAGGGAACCAGCAGGAAACUGCCACCUAGAAGUAUUUAAGGCCCUGUCUCGUCCCCUGGGGGCGUCACCUUUAGAGCCCCCCCUCAGAGUGUCUCUUCAGAGAUGUCACUCCCUCCCUCUCCCCCCCAGCCCCAUCACCACUCUGGCCCUGUUCCCGGGACACACAGCAGACCCCCAGUCAUCCUCAGCGUGUCUUGGUGUUGGAGAGGCUGGCAGCUGCUGGAGGAGACUGCUCAGAACAGGCUCUGGUCCACUUCAAGUCAACAUCUUGAUAAGUGGAGGAUCUAUCGUCAGCGCUGAGGCAGUAUGGGACCAUGUGACCAUGGCCGACCGAGAGUUGGCGUUUAAGGCAGGUGAUGUCAUCAAGGUGCUGGACGCGUCCAAUAAGGACUGGUGGUGGGGUCAGAUCGACGAGGAGGAGGGCUGGUUCCCCGCCAGCUUCGUACGGGUCGAACCCCACCCUCCUCAACCCCAAACAAAACAGCUUUUCUAUAUCAACCCCAUAGCAACUCCUCGGUUCCAAAACACUACGUCUAAGCUGUGGGUGAACCAGGAGGAUGGGGUGGUGGAGCCUGUGGAGGGGACCAGUGAAAUGGCUAACGGUCACCUGGAUCCGACCAAUGACUGCUUGUGCCUGGGCUCGCCGCUUCAGAACCGUGACCAGAUGAGAGCCAACGUCAUCAAUGAGAUUAUGAGCACAGAGAGACACUACAUCAAACACCUCAAGGACAUCUGUGAGGGCUACCUGCGUCAGUGUAGGAAGAGAGUAGACAUGUUUAACGAUGACCAGCUGAGGGUGAUCUUUGGGAACAUCGAGGACAUCUACCGUUUCCAGAUGGGCUUCGUUAGAGACCUGGAGAAACAAUACAACAACGAGGAACCACACCUGUCUGAGAUAGGACCCUGCUUUCUAGAACAUCAAGACGGCUUCUGGAUCUACUCUGAGUACUGUAACAACCACCUGGACGCCUGCAUGGAGCUGUCCAAGCUGAUGAGAGACGGGAGGUACCAGCACUUCUUCGAGGCCUGUCGUCUGCUGCAGCAGAUGAUCGACAUCGCUAUCGACGGCUUCCUCCUCACACCCGUACAGAAGAUCUGCAAAUACCCCCUGCAGCUGGCUGAGCUGCUCAAAUACACUGCACAGGAGCACAGUGACUAUCGCUAUGUGGCGGCUGCGCUGGCAGUGAUGCGUAACGUCACUCAGCAGAUCAACGAGAGGAAGAGGAGGCUGGAGAACAUUGACAAGAUCGCCCAAUGGCAGGCCUCCGUCCUGGACUGGGAGGGUGAUGACAUCCUGGGCCGGAGCUCGGAGUUGAUCUAUACAGGGGAAAUGUCUUGGAUCUACCAGCCCUAUGGACGCAGUCAGCAACGUGUCUUCUUCCUCUUUGAUCACCAGCUGGUCCUCUGUAAGAAGGAUCUGAUUCGUAGGGACAUCCUGUACUAUAAGGGCCGUAUCGACAUGGACCGCUAUGACGUGCGGGACGCCAUCGACGGACGCGAUGACGACUUCAACGUGAGCGUGAAGAACGCGUUCAAAUUGCACAACAAAGACAGCGAGGAGCUCCACAUCUUCCUGUCCAAGAAACAGGAGGAGAAGAUGCGAUGGCUCCGGGCUUUCCACGAGGAGAGGAAGAUGGUGCAGGAGGAUGAGAAAAUCGGGUUUGAGAUCUCAGAGUACCAGAAACGUCAGGCAGCUCUGACUGUGAGGAAGGUAUCUAAGCAGAAAGGUGAGACAACACGAAGACACCAGAUUCAUUGUUAGAUAUCAUCUUCAGAAAGAGGGCCUUGUUUUAUGGACAUGGUUUGAAAAUGAUAAAGGUGUGAACAGAUGCGUGCCCCCUCCUACCCCCCUUCCCAGGACCCCCUACCCCUGGGACAGUAUGACCUAACAGAGGACUUGGCACAAGCAGAGGUUUUUGAAUUCAGUCAAUCAAAACGAGGCCAGUCUCUUUUCUGGCACGACAAUUCUACUAGAUUAACAACGUUUGAGAAAUAGAGAAACAGACUCUUUCCAAGGACCAUCUAUUUUUUUCUGAGAAACACUCAAACUAAAGUGUUUGAAAGGUUACAUCAUCGUCCUGUGAAGAAGAAUUGACGACGAAAAAAGAACCACUGAAGGAAGGACCAAUGAUAUUUCAUUGUGAGUUUCAUUGUGAGUUGUCACCCAGGAGACUGGAGAACUAUGGAUUCUAACUUCUUCACUUCAUUCUAACUGUUCUUAGUUCUGAGUUCCAAUGCUUCUCUACUCCAGUAGACACUACUGUUCCAUACUGAACUGUACUGUACAGGAAUAUACUACAACAUCCCUCAACCCCACCAUCGCCAUCUGAAUGUCCUGGAUUCAUGGAGAUCGCUUUUAUUUUGUUCUUUUCAGGCUCUGGCGUUUUUCCAUAUUUGAAGUAAGCAUAUUUAAUGUUCCUUUACCAGAACUAGUGAGUCCACCUACCUACAGUACAGUAAGACUGUGUAGAUGGCAGGUGUUGUGUUGAUGUGUGUGUCUGUGAGGAUUAUGUUGUUGUGAUUGUGGCCCGAGGUGCACUGUAAUAAUGAGGCUGAGGUGGCAUCCUAUUUCCUACAUAGUGGGGUAGGGUGUCACUUUGACUGACAGGAGAGCUGCUGGCUGGUUCUGAUGUUUCUCAGAAGUUCUGUUGUCAGCAUCACCUGUCCCAUCAAAGACUGGUCAGACCAUCUCUCUCUCUCUCUCUCUCUCUCUCUCUCUCUCUCUCUCUCUCUCUCUC